AACGAACGCUGGCGGCAUGCCUAACACAUGCAAGUCGAACGAGACCUUCGGGUCUAGUGGCGCACGGGUGCGUAACGCGUGGGAACCUGCCCUUAGGUUCGGAAUAACUCCCCGAAAGGGGUGCUAAUACCGGAUAAUGUCUUCGGACCAAAGAUUUAUCGCCUUUGGAUGGGCCCGCGUUGGAUUAGCUAGUUGGUAGGGUAAAAGCCUACCAAGGCGACGAUCCAUAGCUGGUCUGAGAGGAUGAUCAGCCACACUGGGACUGAGACACGGCCCAGACUCCUACGGGAGGCAGCAGUGGGGAAUAUUGGACAAUGGGCGAAAGCCUGAUCCAGCAAUGCCGCGUGUGUGAUGAAGGCCUUAGGGUUGUAAAGCUCUUUUACCCGGGAUAAUAAUGACAGUACCGGGAGAAUAAGCUCCGGCUAACUCCGUG
rnacentral:rRNA from 1 species